rnacentral:rRNA from 1 species
UACGUAGGGGGCAAGCGUUGUCCGGAUUUAUUGGGCGUAAAGAGCGUGUAGGCGCCAGACAGGUCCGUUGUGAAAACUCGAGGCUCAACCUCGAGACGCCGAUGGAAACCGUCUGGCUAGAGUCCGGAAGAGGAGAGUGGAAUUCCCGGUGUAGCGGUGAAAUGCGCAGAUAUCGGGAAGAACACCCGUGGCGAAGGCGGCUCUCUGGACGGUACUGACGCUGAGACGCGAAAGCGUGGGGAGCGAACAGG